GUUGUAUAUAUACUUCAUUCUCUAUAAAUCCAACAUUCAACAAACCACCAAAAAUAGAGAUCAAACUCACUAAAUUUGGAGAAAUAAAUCAUAGAGAAACAUGCCAAUGCUGCAAACCUCCAACUGUAUCUCUACAAAAUCAGUGAUAAUUACCAUAGGCGGGUUAUAUUUAGUGUUUCUUCUGGGAAAAUUUAUUAACGAUAAAAAGAAAAAACAAGUUGAAAAAAGCAGAAAAAGAGUACCAGGUGGCACAGGUGUAGGAGGAGGAGGGCCUGGUCCAGGUUCGACUGUUAAUGGUCAGCCACCAGAAAUGUGAUUGAGGAUAGUUAAUAGUAUUACAUUGUUACAUUUUUUAUCCUCUAUAGUCGAUAAAUAUGUCUUUUGUUAUUACUAGAUAAAUAAAUAUAAUUUAAUCCAUUUAUGUUGUUAUUAUA